AGGUUUUCUUUCCUACUUAAAUCCACCAAUGCUGGGUCGUGGCCUUAAAACGCACGGGCACGUGGCAGAGUUGUGGGCUGUGAGUUUGAUGUACAAAGGGACCCUGCGCAAUGGCAACAGGGAAACAGGGCUCCGGUGAAUGACCACAGCUCCAUCUCCUCCUGUCCAACUCUGCAGAACGACUUCAAGAAGAAGUGGAAAAAGCCUGCUUAGCUACCUGGCCAAUGAGAGAGGACUUAGCCUCAAAGGAUUCUUACUAAAUACAGCUGAAUUGGUAGGACGAAAAGUGCAGUCAGAGGACUUGCCAGACAGAAGCAGAUUAUGGCAGGCACCACCAGCACGUGGAGGGGCACGGUUUUCCCGCCACUCCCCCCACGCAGGGUCCCGCCACUUGGUUUCUUUUUG